UACGUAGGGUCCGAGCGUUGUCCGGAAUUACUGGGCGUAAAGAGCUCGUAGGUGGUUUGUCGCGUUGUUCGUGAAAACUCACAGCUCAACUGUGGGCGUGCGGGCGAUACGGGCAGACUGGAGUACUGCAGGGGAGACUGGAAUUCCUGGUGUAGCGGUGGAAUGCGCAGAUAUCAGGAGGAACACCGGUGGCGAAGGCGGCCUGCUGGGCAGUUGCUGACGCUGAAUCACGACAGCGUGGGGAGCAAACAGG
rnacentral:rRNA from 1 species